GAAACAAGGAGCCCCCUGUCACCUUCUUUUAAAACAGAUCUUUCUGUCUCUGUCUUCAUUUCUCCAUUCAUCCCCCUUCAUUCAAUCCUGUAGCAACUGGCAGUGACAAGUGGUGCCCAGGACAGGGACAUGAGCAAAGAAGGUCUGCUGGAGCAGAGAAAGUGAAACUGACCAGAUGAGCAAGAAACCUUGGGACAAGUCUACUGGCAGCUAAUAUAAGUCUUCAAAAUCAGGUGGACCACCAAAUGGCAAUUGAGAGCUGCAGAACCUGCAAUUACCUUUAUUCAAUUAAUGAAAAAACAAAAAGAGGGAGAUGUUACAGGCCAAAAGAAUGAGGGUCGUGACCAACUCAGCAUACCACUGGAGGCUAUAUGAGCAAACAGAAAACUGUUCUCAUGAAAGCAGGAUGUUGGAAAACUGAUGACUAUGUCUGCCCCCAGAAGGAGUGCUGAGGGCAAUCACACCCCAAGCACAGUGUUCCUUGUGAUUAUCUGUAGGAAUAUCUGAAGCCUGUUGUACAAAGAAAGAAAUUAUGUGUACCUGUGAUAAAUCAAGCAGCUGACCAACCAUUACCUCUUCCUCCCUGCUCUUUU
rnacentral:lncRNA from 1 species